rnacentral:tRNA from 1 species
CAGAAAGUAAUUUAAAAAAAAUAUUAAAUUGAUAAUAUAACAAUGUAAGUUAAAAUCCUACCUCUCUCA